rnacentral:ncRNA from 1 species
CACAGUUUACUAAACUAUGAAUGGCAGAUUGAAAUUGUUUGUUAUCUGUUUGUUUGAACAAAAACGCAGCAAUGGCGUAAGACGUAAUGUUUAAUCAAACAAUUUAUGGGCUGUGGGUUGCAACUUACUGGACUGGGUAGAACCUGUACUAAUUUAUUACAGUAUCCCCCAAUAAAGAGCGCUGCGUUUCUUCCAAUGAAAGAAAUGAAAUUCAGGCUCGCCGACAAUUAGGCACCUCUAUACAAACGAUAGCCGUGAGGCUGGCGGUUUUGUAAAAGACACGAGGUCAUCGGUUACCAGUAGUGCUUCUCUUUUUACUCGCAGCUCUAUACUAA